CUGAGGGUAUAGCUCAGUGUUAGAGUGCUUGCCUAACAUGUAGGAAGCCCUGGGUUCAAUCCCCAGCAUUGAAA
rnacentral:tRNA from 1 species